CAAUAGCCCAUUUAUUUUGCAGCGUACAGAUAAAAGCCCGCUGCAAUAAAAAAAUUUCGCUGCAAAGCUAAUUAAGAAAAACAUUUCGGAUCUCAAACCUAAGGACGCUCAUACUCCCUCUUCUUCCCUCAGCUUUCCCUGCGUACUCUCUCACCUCCUCAUUCUUCUUCUUCUUCAUCUGCUCUCUUUCUCUCUCCUAAAUCCCUUCUUUCUCCGCCAUAUUCCCCCAAUUCUGAGGUCCUUUUCGUGAAUUCUCCCCCGUUUUCUCGCCGCGGUUUCUUCCCCAGGUAACUCCCAUUUCGACGCUUUUUUCUGAAUCCCCCCUUUUUUGUUCUAAGUUUUCUCUAAUUCGUGGUUUUUUUGGGUUUUUUGCAAGUAAUUGUUGAAAUUGGGUGACAAUUCGUCUUGGUUUUUGUGAAAAUUUGCUCGACUCUUUCUCUCCAAGCAUCUGGCCUUCGACCUCAGCCUUCGAACUCAGCCGCCUUCGAAAUUGAGGAGGUUUAGGGUCUCGAAUCAGCAAUUUGUUCAAAAGAAGAUGAGUUGUUGUCCGAGUUCUGGAUUCAAUCAUCAACCAUGUAGCCAAUCUCAGAAGAUGUCCAUUGGGGUGGUCGUUGAGUCCGUUGCCAAAUCUCGUUGUGGAUUCAUGAAAGAGGCUGGUGUUUCAAUCAGGCAUUCACAGAAGGAAGCAUCUGAUGCACAGUAUUUGACGAGAACGGAAGUAGGCCUGUUCGGAAACCUGUGGUCUUCCGACGUAAACGACAUAGCAGUCAUGAUGUUGACUCUACUGAUAUCAGUCCUACUUUGUAUACUCCAGAAGAAAGGGGCAAUUCUGGUGAUGUGUUAACGGAAUGCUUGGAUGAAAUUCCAGAGGACGGAACCGACGGAUUGGCCAGAGUGGUUUCGUUGUUAGGCUUGGAGUUAGAAAAGGUUAAAACCAAAAUGAUGUCAGUGACAAACAAAAAAUGCUCAGAAAUACUGGUGUCUGCUGCCGAAGAAAUUCAUUCACAGCUGCAGAAUGUUGAGUCUCAGAUUCAGACAGAUUUAGUGAAACUAACAAGCCUCAAGACAUCUAAAAGGAAACAUCUGGAGACAAGGCUUGAAGGUCUACACUCCGAGGAUUGCGCCUUAUGCGAGGAAUUUGAUGUGGUUCGUGAGCAAUGGGCUAAGUUUUUUACCAACAAGUAUUUAUUAUUGGCUUUAGCGCGCUUGAUCGAGUUGGUUUAGUUGUUAUAGAAUAAAUUUUAUAUUAAAAUGUAUGUUUAUGUUGAAAUUGGAACAUAUAUUUAAAUGUAAUAUGUGCACUUUGGU